GGGGCAUUGCAGGCGGUCGUAGACAUGCAGUCGAGCGGUAGUAGAGCAAUAUUGCUUCUCUUGAGAGCGGCGGACGGGUGAGUAAUGCCUAGGAAUCUGCCUGGUAGUGGGGGAUAACGCUCGGAAACGGACGCUAAUACCGCAUACGUCCUACGGGAGAAAGCAGGGGACCUUCGGGCCUUGCGCUAUCAGAUGAGCCUAGGUCGGAUUAGCUAGUUGGUGAGGUAAUGGCUCACCAAGGCGACGAUCCGUAACUGGUCUGAGAGGAUGAUCAGUCACACUGGAACUGAGACACGGUCCAGACUCCUACGGGAGGCAGCAGUGGGGAAUAUUGGACAAUGGGCGAAAGCCUGAUCCAGCCAUGCCGCGUGUGUGAAGAAGGUCUUCGGAUUGUAAAGCACUUUAAGUUGGGAGGAAGGGCAUUAACCUAAUACGUUGGUGUCUUGUUUGUUACCGACGUACCAAACGCCGGCUAACUCUGUGCGAACAGCCGCGGUAAUACAGAGGCUGGGAACGUUUUUCCGAGUUACUGCGAUUAAACCGCGCGGCCCCGCCGCUUGUGGGGGCCCCCUGUCAUCUCUUGGGUUUUUUAAGCUUUGUGCCCUCACUCCCCGAGGAGGUCAAUUAGGGCGAUAGCGGCGCCAUU
rnacentral:rRNA from 1 species